rnacentral:rRNA from 1 species
UACCAGACUCCUACGGGAGGCAGCAGUGAGGAAUAUUGGUCAAUGGCCGAGAGGCUGAACCAGCCAAGUCGCGUGAGGGAAGACGGCCCUACGGGUUGUAAACCUCUUUUGUCGGGGAGCAAAGCGAGUCACGUGUGACUCAUUGAGAGUACCCGAAGAAAAAGCAUCGGCUAACUCCGUGCCAGCAGCCGCGGUAAUACGGAGGAUGCGAGCGUUAUCCGGAUUUAUUGGGUUUAAAGGGUGCGUAGGCGGACAGUCAAGUCAGCGGUAAAAAUGCGGUGCUCAACGCCGUACAGCCGUUGAAACUGGCAGUCUUGAGUGGGCGAGAAGUAUGCGGAAUGCGUGGUGUAGCGGUGAAAUGCAUAGAUAUCACGCAGAACUCCGAUUGCGAAGGCAGCAUACCGGCGCCCGACUGACGCUGAGGCACGAAAGCGUGGGUAUCGAACAGGAUUAGAUACCCGCGUAA